UACGUAGGGUGCGAGCGUUAAUCGGAAUUACUGGGCGUAAAGCGUGCGCAGGCGGUUUUGUAAGCCAGAUGUGAAAUCCCCGGGCUUAACCUGGGAAUGGCAUUUGGGACUGCAAGGCUCGAGUGCGGCAGAGGAGACUGGAAUUCCUGGUGUAGCAGUGAAAUGCGUAGAUAUCAGGAGGAACACCGAUGGCGAAGGCAGGUCUCUGGGACGGUACUGACGCUGAGACGCGAAAGCGUGGGGAGCGAACAGG
rnacentral:rRNA from 1 species